AUUGAACGCUGGCGGCAGGCCUAACACAUGCAAGUCGAGCGAGCGGCGGACGGGGGAGUAAUGUCUGGGAAACUGCCUGAUGGAGGGGGAUAACUACUGGAAACGGUAGCUAAUAACGCAUACCAUGAGAUGUGCCCAGAUGGGAUUAGCUAGUCGGUGGGGGAACGGCUCACCUAGGCGACGAUCCCUAGCUGUUCUGAGAGGAUGACCAGCCACACUGGAACUGAGACACGGCCCAGACGCCUACGGGAGGCAGCAGUAGGGAAUAUUGCACAAUGGGCGAAAGCCUGAUCCAGCAAUGCCGCGUGUGUGAAGAAGGCUUUCGGGUUGUAAAGCACUUUCAGCGGGGAGGCGUUACCCGAAGAAGAAGCCCCGGCUAACUCCGUGCCAGCAGCCGCGGUAAUUC
rnacentral:rRNA from 1 species